UUCUUCUCAAUCGCAUAUUUCAACCUUCUCCUCCUUACCUGUUCUCCUCAAUCGCAGAUUUCAACCUUCUCCUCUCCAGUUUUUUUCCUCGAAGGAUAUGCCUUCUCCUCCCUUGCUCUUCUCCUCGAUCGACGGCGCCUCCUCCUCCUUGAUCAACGACAUAAUGGGAGAUAUAAAAGAACGAAGCUCUCUGAUUCAAAAUAAUUAGGGCAUUAGCCUUCACUUCUAAUUGGGGAAAGUAUCUUCUUAGCUUCAGAUCUAUCAAGCAUUCAGGCAGGCUAUCUACGAUAGAGAAUCCGGAAAACAAUGGACUCAGCACUGAAGUUGAAGGAGGCAUAGGUGAUGAUGUUUCCAACCAGAAUGUGCAUUCCCGCAACUUGCUUCGUAUGAACAGCACAUCACCAACUUCAGACUCUCAACAUAGAAAACCUGUGCAUAAUACAGUCCCAUUCUCUUCACGAACUACUAUGGGGGUAACAGGUAGCCCAUCACGUUUUGCAUGCACUGUGCAACAAGGACUCCCUUCAAAUCCACCCCGCAGUUUCCACAUCAGGGACAAAUUAUGUUGCCUCCCCUCCCUCUCCAGCUGCAUCAGGCAGUACACCAGCAUUUAGAGAUGCCCAGCUCCCCCGUCCGUGGAAUUAGGACUUAGGAGGGAUGCCUCUAAGCUGCUGCUUGUUUUGAAGAUUAUUGAUACAUAAAUUGAUUCUAUCUCGUUUCUCCUGCUGCUGCAACAUCAAACAAUGCAUAUGUAUUAUGGUUCAAUAGUACCAUUAUGGUUCAUCCUAUAGCAGCCUUAUAUGCAAAAGCAGAGUGGUUUCCCUGAUGGGUUUACCCGUUUUUCAUUCAAAGAUCCAAGAAUGAAACCAGAAGGACAAUGGAAACAC